ACAGCACAGCAAAGCAUGAGCUUGAAGCAUUUUUGAGUUGAGCAGAGAUAGAAGAAAUGAAAGCAACGGAGAAGGUAACCGAUGAGGAUACAAUAAAAAUAUUGUGCCCUAGACUAAUACUAAUAAAAAAUGAACCGGGUCUCCAAUGGCUUAUCGGAUCUCCAUUUUUCCCUCCUUUCACUAUCAUUUCCACCUUAAAAUCCAUCCACACCUCCUCCUCCUCUUCCUCUCCAGACUUCAUCAAAGAAUCAGACGACUUGCGGACGCUGUUGAUAAAAGGAUUUGACGUAAUCGGAGCGUUAGUUGCUGGAGGUUCGAGUUCUGAUGAUGGUGAGAAGAAUGCUCGCGAGGCGAUUGGUUGGGCCAGGAAAUUGAGAGAGUUUGUAAUUGGUGGUGGAGGAGAGAAUUUGGAGAAUCGAGAAUUGAUUGGUGCGGUUGCGGGUUUGAGUGGUGGUGAUGUUAAGUUUUUUGUGGAGAGAAAUGGAAAUGUAACGGCCGUUGAUAGUGUUGUUUAUGAAGAGAAUCAGGAGAAUUUUGUUUGGGAGAGAGGCUGUUUGUUUCGAUGUAAUCUACCUAUUAAAAUGCCGGUUUAUUUUCCGGUGAAGAACGAGGCUGAUGCAGAAAAGAUGUACUUGCGUGCAGCUGAAGCGGUUGCUAGCAGUUUCAAAGACCCAUUGGCAACCUACGUGGUAGAAAGAUUAAGCAAAGACAUAUCAAGUGUACCUCAACCUGUCAUUAUCCGUGGUGUAGACUUGGAUUUUAACACAGAUCUCACAAAUAUCAAGCUUGUGGAUGACAAAGCUGCUCAAGAUUCCGAUGCAAAAAAAUUGACAUGCGCACACUUUUGUUUGAAAAGCAAAUCUUCCCCGGGAUUGAUUUCUGUAGAGAAUGCAGAUGUAAUCCAAGUGAGCGUUCUGUUCAAUAGUUCAGGAAAGUCCCCUAAAUCUUCAGCACCCCUUGCAGAAUAUUUUCCAGCUUUGGAAGAAGCCAGACUUUUUUUUGUGAAUUUUGAGCUGGAAGUGCUCUGCUAUGUGGCAAAGGAUCUUCUGCUGAUGUCUGCAAUUUCAAAGUUGAUCAUCCCUGCUUUAGUUGACCAGUUCGAUUCAAUGAAAAAGGCAGUCUUGCCCAAACUCUUAGUUCAACACCCACAGCUAUGUUCAUAUCACUUUAAUCCACCUGGGCUGUUGCAUCCUAUUACAGUUAUCUAUGAACUCAAUUAUGGGGAGACAGAAUUGAAACAAGUUGAAGUCAGAAGAUCCUUACACACGAGGCUGGGACUACCUUUUGAUCGUCCGCUUCUAAGAAUUGCUAAUGCUCUUGAUUUCUCUAUGAUGAAGGAUGGUUCAGGAAACAGCUCUAAACGAAAAGGGCCUUCUUUGCUCAAAGAUGUACAUAUCGGGAUUCCAAGUAGUGGGGUCUCAGGAGGCGUUGUCUCUCUGGUUCAAGGUUCUUAUGAAUACCAUCACUAUCUUCAAGAUGGCUUUGAUGAUUCAGGCUGGGGCUGUGCUUAUCGCUCUCUGCAGACUAUCAUUUCAUGGUUCAGACUCCAACACUACACAUCCAUUGAUGUUCCUUCUCAUAGGGAAAUACAACAAGCACUUGUGGAGAUCGGAGAUAAAGAUCCUUCUUUUAUUGGAUCACGUGAAUGGAUUGGUGCUAUUGAGUUGAGCUUUGUUUUAGAUAAACUUCUGGGCGUAAGUUGCAAGAUCAUAAAUGUUAGAUCCGGAGCUGAGCUUCCUGAAAAAUGUCGAGAGCUGGCCUUGCACUUUGAGAAUCAAGGAACACCUAUCAUGAUUGGUGGUGGUGUUCUUGCAUACACCCUUCUAGGAGUUGAUUACAAUGAAGUGAGUGGAGAUUGUGCAUUUCUAAUACUUGAUCCGCACUAUACUGGCAAUGAUGAUCACAAGAAAAUUGUAAAUGGUGGAUGGUGUGGAUGGAAAAAGGCUGUUGAUAGCAAGGGAAGGAAUUUCUUUUUACAUGACAAGUUCUAUAAUCUUCUCCUGCCGCAGAGGCCCAGCAUGGUGUAGUAGUAGGAAACAUAGAUGACAAACAAUCUGAUACUCCAAAGGCUCAACCCCUUUAUGUAGAAAGUGAAAUCUUUUAGCCUCUUGACCACUGAUUUCCUAAACAGCGGUGUUUUUAAAAAAAUUAAUUUUUUUUUUGUUAAAAUUUAAUAUAGUUUAUACGUUUUGGAUUA